GUUGCCCGGAGCUCAGUGAGCAGCUGAGGGGCCGUCCGUUGGUGGUCGGCGGGCGGUGUCGGGUGCUCGCAGACCCUCCCAGAGCAGGGUCACUAACAACCGCCAGGGGGCGCCCUUCUGCCUGUGAUCUUCCUCUCCAGGCUUGGUUUCUCCUCCCCCGCUGGCAUCUCUGCUGUCCGUCCCCGGUUGGCCUUGUAGUCCGACUUUUUGUCUUCCAGAAGCUCUGCCACUAAGGAGGCUAAACGGUUCGAACUUCCUUCCCAGCUUAGAAAGCCUACCCCACUUGGGCAGUGCCCUGGACCUCAAGUUCCUGGUGGCAGACUGGCCGGCAGACUACUCAGGAGAUGGGGCAGUGCUGCGAUGCCUCCAGAAAGGCCAGCUGGCAGCGCUGCAUGAUGAGCCACCAGAAGCAAGGACCCCGCUGCCCCCUUCCCGUCCCUGGUGGGCACCUUGUGAGGCACCUGCCCCCUCACACUGUGCUCCUGAGGUCGGUUUGGAACAAAGUGCUGAUAGGUCGCUUUAUGUCUUCCCAUUUUCCUUUUUCUGGCUAAGAGUUUACUUUUAAAGCAUGCUUUUUUUUUUUCUUAAAAUAACCAAUUUGGAUAACUUGUGGCCUACUGUGAGGCCCAGCAUGGUACUAAUUAGCAUAGUUUUGAAAUCAUCCUAUGAGUAAAUGGAUACACAUAUCCAUCAGCUUAUAGUGAGAAGAAUUCUCAUUGGAAGUUUAAGUGCUUUUAUAUUUUCACCUCAUUCAUGGCAUGUAUUUGUUCAUACAUGUCUGUGUUUUGACCUUCCAUAUUCAGUGAGCAGUUAGUUUGGACCAGACAUGGUCAGAAGUAGGACUCCAGCAGUGAAUUAAAAACUGUGUGUGUUCUUUAUCCACUGCUAUGUAACGAAUCAUUGCAAAGCUUAGUGACUUCCCAGGGAGCAGCUUACAGUCCACAGUGCCUGUGCAUUGUAGCAGGCAGGCCUGGUUCAGGGCCUCCUGAGGGCACAGACACGGGAAGGCCCCCCAGGGCUGGAUGGCAGGCUUUCAGACUCACCUGGCUGCAAGGGACAGGCUCAGGUCCCUGCCGUGUGGCUUUCCCAUGGCCUGGCUUUCCCUGGAACACCCUCUGAGUGCGAGAGCGUGGGGUUUUGCCCGGGGCCUUUUGCACCCUGGUCUUGAGGCCGCACACCUUCACUUCUGUUUGUGAGAGUGAGCUGCGAAGUCCUGCCUUGCUCAGGGGCUGAGCAGGAGUUGCCCCUUC
ensembl:lncRNA